rnacentral:lncRNA from 1 species
UUGACCACCGCGGUUCAUGAUUCUGAAACACCACUUAUACAAAUUACCGUGCCAUGGAAGAUUGGGACAAACAGCAGUGAUGACGCUGUUUCAGGAAACCAUGUCGCUUAUGCCAUCAAAAUUGAUGGGAAAAUAUACACUUUCCAUCUUAAGAAACAGUAAGUUGCCACUCUUCUUUUCAUGCAGUUGUUUUUAGUUUCUUAAUUUUUACAGUCACUUCCUUAAAGUAAGCCUAAACAAGAGCAUGAAUAUUAUGUUUAUUUAUCUUGUUAUAUCUACUUUGUGAUUCAUGUGAGACUAGAAUUUCAAGUCUUCAUCUUGAUAUUUUAAAUCUACUAUUCGAACCAAAUUCUAAUUCAGUGAUGUAAAUGUUAAUGUAUACCUGAUAAAUGAAAAUUAUUCUAUGUAACUCCUUAAAAUAUAACCAUGAUUGAAACAAUUAGGGGAAUAAUUUUAUUUGUCCAUGUUUUGUU